UGCUGGCAUGCUUAUCCUGAUAAUGUAUGAAUUCAUUUCCCAUGUUUCUGAUUCCCUGAUUCUGAAAUCACAGGUGCCACAAUCAUUCUUUUUAUUUAAGUUAAAGAGUGUUCAGGAACUUCCAAGCAGUAAUCUGUGACUUUGUUUCACUGGGGUAUAAAUAUGAGACAGAGACCCAAUUCCCUUAUUCAUUCUUCAACAUGGGAAAGAUAAGAGAACACACAAAUCAACUCAAAUUAAAAGGGAAUUUUACCAGGGCAUUUCAAAUCAAAAUCUAGCCUCCUCUGCCAAGAAACUAAAACUGGGUCAUCACUGAGUCUUCCAGCAGGACAGUGACUCAAAACAUAUGUCCAGAUCAACACAAAAAUAGUUUGCAGUUGACACAAAAUCUCAGUCCCCUGACCUAAACCCCACAGGGUUGAGCUAAAGAGCAGAGUGCCUAGAGAAAGCCUUGGACUGUAGACCAAUAGUCUCAAAUUCCUUGCUCUGUAUUCUCAAACCUUAUAAGCAGUGGUGGACAGUAACGAAGUAGAUGUAAUUCGUUCCUGUACCUAAGUAACAUAUAGAUGUAUCUGUACUUUACUCAAGUAUUUAUAUUUGGUGAGACUUUAUACUUUGACUCCGCUACAUUUCAAAGUGAAAAUUCGUUACAUUUAGUAAAACCUCUCGUUCCUUUUUACCAAAGCGAAUCAAAUAAUGAGAGGUCAAAGCGAGUGCACAAUCACACCAACCAGGGCUCAGUGCGCGAUUUUUUUUAAGUCCUUUCGGUUUCGUCAGUUUCGUUCGUUCGUUGAGCGCGAGCUACGUUGAAUUCGUUACAACGCUGCUGCAGCAUUUUGAGGAUGUUUUAUGCUCAUGCUUACUUAAAGCUACAUAAAUGAUGGAAAUGAUGGAAGAAACGGCUGGCACUUACUUGCCUGAACACCCUUGGCCUUAUUUGGGCGAACUUUUUGAAUUGGAAAAAAGGAAGAAGGACUAAUUUUAUUUUAAGUGUCUUCUCUGCCUGCCUACGCACAAUACAAUAUCCUUUCAAGAAUUCGCCCUCCAAUUUAAAGAAACACGUUGAGAGUCUCCAGCUCUUUAGUGUGGUGGAGCAGCCAUCAUGUCAAGAUCUCGUGCAAGAUCUUCAGCCCAAUGCCUCUCUGAUGUCAAGGACCACCUUGUGACGCAAGAUAUAUGAGGAUGCAAUUGAGAUGAAGAGGAACAUCAAAGAAGCUAUGUCCACAGUCGAUUUCAUUGCUACGACAACAGAUUGUUGGAGUGCAAGGCAAAGGGGUUUUCUUGGAGUUACUGCCCACUGGGUAGAAGACUCAAUGAUGUUUUAUUGGUAAAGGAAGGUUGUACAGAGUAUUAAAUGCAGGGGUGCCACUGAAUACAAUAUAUUUACUUGAUUUAAAGGUUGUCAUUAUUUCAGUGUGAGACUAAGCUAAGUAAUCAAACUCAUCUUUACCAGGGGUGCCAAUCAUUGUGGAGGGGACUGUGGAUGUCUCAUGUUCUGCUGUGUAUCUUUAUUUUGAUUUUUAAUUGUAAAACUUAAAUAGUGCCUAUUUGUGCUGUUACUUUGGCAUAAAAAUGCCACUGUGCUCAAAAUCAAUAUAUAUAUAUAUAUUUUAAAUCCUCUGUGUCACAAAGGUAACUAGGUGUUGCAUACCCUGCCCUAUCCCUCUGGAGCAUGACAGGGCUGGCCUGCUAAAUUACCUAAAAGAUGUAAAACGGCAUUCUUCUCCUCCACUACCUUCAUCACGUACAAAUUCAGGGUGUCAUUAAAAAGCCUAUCCCACAUGCUGGCAUCAAACCAGUGAAUGAAAACAACUAACUGCCUGGUGUUCUAUGUGUUAACAAACUUAUAUCUACUUAUUUAUUAGUUUUUUCAUUUUCUGUUCCCAUAUGUUUUCAUUCAUUCAUCCGUUAAUUAGCUUGUUUGUUCUUAAUUUGUUAAUCAAUUAAUUAAUUUGUUUUGUUCUUUCUUUCUGUCAUCUGAUAUAUCAGACAGAUUGUGUGAGUAUUAUAAGAUGGUAUGUGUAAGGACAGCAGAAAUAAUUGUCUCUUCCCUAGGGCCUGAGAGACACUGACACUGUGUACAGACUUCAAGCCUGACUGUGUUGACUGAGUGCAUUAAAAAAAAUUCACUGUGUAAGUAGGCUUGACUG
ensembl:lncRNA